GCGGAUGUAGCCAAGGGG
rnacentral:tRNA from 1 species